rnacentral:rRNA from 1 species
AUGUUAGCGGCGGACGGGUGAGUAACACGUGGAUAACCUACCUAUAAGACUGGGAUAACUUCGGGAAACCGGAGCUAAUACCGGAUAAUAUUUUGAACCGCAUGGUUCAAAAGUGAAAGACGGUCUUGCUGUCACUUAUAGAUGGAUCCGCGCUGCAUUAGCUAGUUGGUAAGGUAACGGCUUACCAAGGCAACGAUGCAUAGCCGACCUGAGAGGGUGAUCGGCCACACUGGAACUGAGACACGGUCCAGACUCCUACGGGAGGCAGCAGUAGGGAAUCUUCCGCAAUGGGCGAAAGCCUGACGGAGCAACGCCGCGUGAGUGAUGAAGGUCUUCGGAUCGUAAAACUCUGUUAUUAGGGAAGAACAUAUGUGUAAGUAACUGUGCACAUCUUGACGGUACCUAAUCAGAAAGCCACGGCUAACUACGUGCCAGCAGCCGCGGUAAUACGUAGGUGGCAAGCGUUAUCCGGAAUUAUUGGGCGUAAAGCGCGCGUAGGCGGUUUUUUAAGUCUGAUGUGAAAGCCCACGGCUCAACCGUGGAGGGUCAUUGGAAACUGGAAAACUUGAGUGCAGAAGAGGAAAGUGGAAUUCCAUGUGUAGCGGUGAAAUGCGCAGAGAUAUGGAGGAACACCAGUGGCGAAGGCGACUUUCUGGUCUGUAACUGACGCUGAUGUGCGAAAGCGUGGGGAUCAAACAGGAUUAGAUACCCUGGUAGUCCACGCCGUAAACGAUGAGUGCUAAGUGUUAGGGGGUUUCCGCCCCUUAGUGCUGCAGCUAACGCAUUAAGCACUCCGCCUGGGGAGUACGACCGCAAGGUUGAAACUCAAAGGAAUUGACGGGGACCCGCACAAGCGGUGGAGCAUGUGGUUUAAUUCGAAGCAACGCGAAGAACCUUACCAAAUCUUGACAUCCUUUGACAACUCUAGAGAUAGAGCCUUCCCCUUCGGGGGACAAAGUGACAGGUGGUGCAUGGUUGUCGUCAGCUCGUGUCGUGAGAUGUUGGGUUAAGUCCCGCAACGAGCGCAACCCUUAAGCUUAGUUGCCAUCAUUAAGUUGGGCACUCUAAGUUGACUGCCGGUGACAAACCGGAGGAAGGUGGGGAUGACGUCAAAUCAUCAUGCCCCUUAUGAUUUGGGCUACACACGUGCUACAAUGGACAAUACAAAGGGCAGCGAAACCGCGAGGUCAAGCAAAUCCCAUAAAGUUGUUCUCAGUUCGGAUUGUAGUCUGCAACUCGACUACAUGAAGCUGGAAUCGCUAGUAAUCGUAGAUCAGCAUGCUACGGUGAAUACGUUCCCGGGUCUUGUACACACCGCCCGUCACACCACGAGAGUUUGUAACACCCGAAGCCGGUGGAGUAACCUUUUAGGAGCUAGCCGUCGAAGGUGGGACAAAUGAUUGGGGUGAAGUCGUAACAAGGUAGCCGUAUCGGAAGGUGCGGCUGGAUCACCUCCUU